rnacentral:lncRNA from 1 species
AUGUCAGGGAGCUUUCUCUAACAUUCACCUAAUUCAAAAGGUGGGCAAAGCGGGGUGUGAGCGCUAACGAGUGUCCCCUGCUCUAUGAUCCUGGUGCGGCUGCGAGGCUCAGAGGCCACCCGAUGGUUUCGGUGUCAGACACCCCGGCCUCCCCGAAGGCCCUCGGCGCUUCUACCUGAAGCAGGGAAACCUAAAAGAAAAAAAUCUGCCUUGAAUUUUGGAAUGAAAACCACUGCACAGAUUCCUUGUGAGACAGGGCUGCAUUCAACUCGUGUCUUCCACAGGAAUCAGAACUGUGUCUUUAAAGGAAGAAGGAGUUCUGGGGGACAGUGGAGCCAAGUUUCUGUCACGCUCUGUUACGCAGUGGGAAUGGGGACAGAGAAGAAAGGAGUGUGUCAGAGCACAGGGGCGACCCACCACGACCCUCUUCCUGUGGCCUAAUUAUAGCUGCUUUGUGGAGGGCCAGUCAUAUAACAGAUAAGUUGAGAGAUUCUUAAACUAGAAUGCUCUGCGUGGAGAACGAGGCCUGCAGCAAACAGGCAAUCCCACCCGGAGACUAGCUUCGCUCUGCUGCGGCGCCCGCAUCCCAAGAAGCCUAUUGUAUGAAGCAUUACAGUCUGGCAACGUUGUAAAGGAUGGUGGUUGUAUUGUCUAUUUUAGAAUCAUCUUCCCCUUUUUUGCCAUCACCAAGCAGCUGCCCCAGCGUUUGCAAAGCAGCUGUUUCAUGGCUAAAUGGACCCCAGCUCCAGCAGCCACCAGCUCACUAGUGAUUCACCCCGAACAUCUCCAUGAUAAGUGAUAAAGUCCUCAUGUUUAGGUAUGUUCUAACAUGAAUCACACCCAGAGAAUCUGGGGAAGAGAAAUGGGAAAAAGAAUACAAGUGUCCAAGCUUUUUGUUUGUUUGUCUCAAUGUCACAUGUAAGGUUACUGUCGGAAGGAAGGAAGGAGUUCUGGGCAAAAGCCUUCAUUCAAAAAUGUCAAUAUCAUUUAACAGCAAAAGCAGUAUAAUUACUCUAUUCAAUAAACAGCUAACAAUACACA